rnacentral:rRNA from 1 species
GACGUAGGGCGCGAGCGUUGUCCGGAUUUAUUGGGCGUAAAGAGCUCGUAGGCGGUGUGUCACGUCGGCCGUGAAAACCUGCAGCUUAACUGUGGGCGUGCGGUCGAUACGGGCAUCACUGGAGUUCGGCAGGGGAGACUGGAAUUCCUGGUGUAGCGGUGAAAUGCGCAGAUAUCAGGAGGAACACCGGUGGCGAAGGCGGGUCUCUGGGCCGAUACUGACGCUGAGACGCGAAAGCGUGGGGAGCAAACAGG